GAACGAGAAAGUGGGGCAAUCCAUGAGUAAAGUGGCGUACGGGUGAGUAACACGUGGAUCAUCUGCCCUUUAGUGGGGAAUACCGCUGGGAAACCGGCGACAAUACCGCAUAAGCUCGAGAGAGGAAAGCAGCAAUGCGCUGAAGGAGGAGUCCGCGGCCGAUUAGCUAGUUGGUAGGGUAAUGGCCUACCAAGGCUGUGAUCGGUAGCCGGCCUGAGAGGGCACACGGCCACACUGGCACUGAAACACGGGCCAGACUCCUACGGGAGGCAGCAGUGGGGAAUCUUGCACAAUGGGGGAAACCCUGAUGCAGCGACGCCGCGUGAGCGAUGAAGCCCUUCGGGGUGUAAAGCUCUUUCGGCAGGGAAGAUUAUGACGGCACCUGUAGAAGCAGCUGCGGCUAACUACGUGCCAGCAGCCGCGGUAAUACGUAGGCAGCAAGCGUUGUUCGGAGUUACUGGGCGUAAAGGGUGCGUAGGCGGUUCUAUAAGUAUGGUGUGAAAUCUCCCGGCUUAACUGGGAGGGUGCGCUAUAGACUGUGGGACUAGAGUGUGGGAGAGGAAAGUGGAAUUCCUGGUGUAGCGGUGAAAUGCGUAGAUAUCAGGAGGAACACCGGUGGUGUAAACGGCUUUCUGGACCAUAACU
rnacentral:rRNA from 1 species